rnacentral:rRNA from 1 species
GACGAACGCUGGCGGCGUGCCUAAUACAUGCAAGUUGAGCGCUGAAGGUUGGUACUUGUACCGACUGGAUGAGCAGCGAACGGGUGAGUAACGCGUGGGGAAUCUGCCUUUGAGCGGGGGACAACAUUUGGAAACGAAUGCUAAUACCGCAUAAAAACUUUAAACACAAGGUUUAAGUUUGAAAGAUGCAAUUGCAUCACCCAAAGAUGAUCCCGCGUUGUAUUAGCUAGAUGGUGAGGUAAAGGCCCACCAAGGAGAUGAUACAUAGCCGACCUGAGAGGGUGGUCGGCCACAUUGGGACUGGGACACGGCCCAAGAUCCUUCCGGGGGCAGCAGUAGGGGAUCUUCGGCAAUGGGCGGAAGGCUGGCCGAGCAACGCCGCGUGGGUGAAGAAGGUUUUCGGAUCGUAAAACUCUGUUGGUAGGGAAGAACGUUGGUGAGGGUGGAAAGCUCAUCAAGUGACGGUAACUACCCAGAAAGGGACGGCUAACUACGUG